ACAUGAGUUCAAAUAAAGUUUAAUAAUCAUGCACUAUUAUUAAACGACAAACGAUGUUCGGUCUUCAAAGUAACUGUUAAGCCACGUUCCAAAUCGGUGGUAUUGCAGAGGGCGUUUUCACAUAACAGGGAUGACCACAGGGAUAUAGCAAGUACAACGAGUGAAGAGAAGGUCUUUAAAAAAAAUGUGGACAUCUCCUUCUACAUAAACAACUUAAGUGACUUACAUGAAAGUCAUGUGUUUCUUUAAAAAAUCAUUAGAUAAUGGUCGUUUGAUUCCCACCUCCUGGCUACGCCCAUGGAUUAAGAUAUAUGUGCGGCAAUGAAAUAUGCGAGACUCGAUUUUAUUCAUAGACCACAUCUCCUCUGCCUGCAAGGAUAUUUCACCAUUAGAUAAAGCCUUUGGUUAAAUUGUUUGCACUGGAAUAUCAUUUUUUGUCAAAUUAUAACAGUGACCAACAUUUGACAAAUAAACGAUGCUGCCAGGGAACAGAGGUCACGAGGUGACGCUGUCCAUUAGCCAAAGAAAAGGAGUUAAUAUUUUAGAUUGGAGUGCACUUUCUUGGUUCACUUUUAUAUUCGUCAAACUACAGGAAAGACCAGCUUUCUUUUGAAAGAUCAUCGUGUUUAGUUUUGGAGUGUUCAAUCCUGAGAGAGAAGAGGCAGUUAGGCUAAACACCAACUAAGAUAGAAAGAACUGUCUACUCGUUCACAGUGGGUGCGUGUACUGGCUUUUCUGUAUAUUGCCUGAACAAAAAAAUAUGUUUGUUCAAAACGUGUUUUAGUUUCGUUAUUUACAGAGUAAAUGAAUAUUUCGGUCUAAUUGUUUCACUCACAGAAAUCCUUGUACAUUUCAUGGAUG